ensembl:lncRNA
CCUCUCUCCAGCUCCUGGUGAAUUCUGGCAAUCCUUGGCAUUCCUUCACUCCCAGCUGCUUCACACUCCAGUCUCUGCCUUCUUCGUCACAAAACCUCCUCCCUGUGUGUUUCUGUCUCACCAGGCUAUCUUGUAGGAAGACUAGCUAUAUUGGAUCAUGCGAGCAUGUGCGCGGAGUUCCUCAGUCGUGUCUCUUUGUGAACCCAUGGACUAUAGCCCACCAGGUUCCUCUGUCCUUGGGAUUUUCCUGGCAAAAAUAUUGGAGUGGGAUACCAUUUCCUACUCAAGGGGAUUUUCCUAACCCAGGAAUUGAACUUGCGUCUCUUGCCUCCCCCACAUUGGCAGCUGAGUUCCUUACCAUUAGCACCAGCUGGGAAGCCCAUAUUGGAUUACGGCACCACCCUAACCUUGUGCUUCCCAGGUGGCUCCGUGUGUAAAGAGCCUGCCUGCCGAUGCAGGAGACGCGAGAGACGUGGGUUCAGUCCCGGGGUCAGGACGAUCCCCUGGAGAAAGGGAUGGCUACCCACUCUAGUCUUCUUGCCUGGAGAAUCCCAUGGACAGGCAGAUUCUUUACCACUGAGCCACCUGGGAAUCCCAAGACCAAGACAUUGCCAGUCAAAAGUUCCUAGAUGAGUUGGUCACUCUAAAGGAGAAACAGAUAAAGCCACUUUCACAUCCUCAAGGCACAGAGCAGAAAACUCCCAGUUAAACCACAGAGUUCCAUUAAAAGUUGCCACCCGUAUUCAAAAGCCUGAUUGUACACCUUGGGGUUCUGCCGAAGAAGCACUUACAGGAGUUCAGAGACUGGUGCCGUGUAGUAAAAAUGAAUCGACUUUUAGAAACCACACAGGAUGCUCCGUCUUUGUAUUAAGGAAACGAGACCCGGUGAAACGGUCACGUGGAAACAAGGAGAAGAACGAGAUUCUCAGGCUGCAGGUCUCCGUGCUGAUGUCAUUACCGUCUGCCUGCGAUGAUCAUCCGCCUGACCAUCUGAGCUGCUUUUCUUCCCUUUCCUUUGCCACCAGUUUCCUUCAUGGACCUAUUUAUCUUCGUGCAGUUCGAUUGGUGCUGGUGUCAUUGUCGAUAAAGAGUGUCAAAGAGAAGCGAGACCAGCUUCUGCACAGAUUUUCAGUCAUCACCAACCUACUACCUCCGUGUCCUGGGCUGACAUUACAGAAACAGAAGUUCAAAGACAUGGCUGAUAUCCUCCUUUAAAAACACUUCAACGAUGCAGUCAGCGAUUUCUGUUUUCUGACAUUCUUUUUUAAAAGAGAUGCUUAAAGCGAAAAAGGUUUCCUGCCACGAAAAUGACAUUAAUAUUUCGUAAAUCAAGAACGAAGAUAAUGUUUUGGCUGCUGCAGAGACGUUUACCUUAUGUCGUUUAUCUAAAUGCUUUUCGAUUCAAACAUGACACAAUUUUUGGACUGGCUGUAACCGGAAAAAACAAUUCCAAGAACUUUCUUAUUUCAGAGCCUGAAAUUCUUUAGUAUAUUCCUCACCAGAAUUUACUGUGGAGGAUACAGCCUUUCGGCUCAUUGAAAAAGACUUCCCAAAUA